GGCUUGUGGCUCAGUGGUAGAGCACUUGCCUUGCAUGUGUGAGGCACUGGAUUCGAUCCUCAGCACCA
rnacentral:tRNA from 1 species